rnacentral:lncRNA from 1 species
AGGAGGAACAGCUGGCAGUGGCAUGGAGGGGUGCUGGCCAGGCUCUGAGCGUGCCCUUGAGCUUGGCAGGUUGGGUCCCCAGGCCGCUGUGGCCUUGCUGAGGCAGUGUCCCCAACAACAGGCACAGGCCAACCUGGCCCCGGCAGCAGUGCAGCCUCCCUGACCCCCGCAGAAGCCAGCACCAGGAGGGCACCCCCAGAGGUUCAGGGUCUGAGGGCCACAGCUUUCCUGUGCGACUUCCAGGUUCGGGGUCCUCAGUUGGGACCACAGACCCUCUGUGCUAACCAAGUCCUAGUGACGAGAUACAAAGCAACUGUGAGGUCGCCGUGAUGCCAGCUGUGUGACCUGGAAGGGACAGAAACUGGAGACAAAGAUGAGUGGUGACCAGGGUGUGGAGAGUCAAUGACGGGUAAGAGGAAUACAGGAAAUCACCAACCUAAGACAGAGCAAGAGUACUGUGACACUCUUGACUCCAUGACGGAGCAAGGAGACUAUGUGACGAGGAGCCGCGUCCUUGCCGAAUUAGAUGUUUACCUUCAGAAAUUGUCCUGGAACAUGAUGAACGUUUUGUAACCCCGAGAAACAAGAAAGCCCAUGAGGGUGGGGAAUUUCCAAAGAACUAGAGAACAAGGAAGCAGGUGUCUCUCUGGAUGGGUCAUGAUUAACAACCAAACUCACCUGUGAUAAAGAGGGGACGAGACUAAAAUAAAGCGCAGCGGCAGUCUCUCGGAGAGGCUCCCGACUCUAUCUCUGCGUCUUUCUUUUUCCUCAUCCUCACUCUCCCAUUCAGGUGCUGUUCGACAAGUGACGGCGGGCUCCGUCACCAGGGAUAGCAGGGAGGGUGGAGAGGAGUGCGGGACUUAGCCUGGUGGAGCCACUCUGGGAGGGGGCGGGACAGCGAGACAGGGUCUCUCUGUGUAGUUCAGGGUGACCUUGAACUCACUAAGCAGCCCGGGCUGGCUUCAAACCCUUGGCAGCCCUCCUGCCUCGGCCUCCCGCGUGCUGGGCCUGUAGUGGUGGAGCCACGCCGCGUGGUGGUGCGCCAGUGUCAUUGCACCUGUGGCCAGCCCAUGAGCCUAGUGUGCACCGUCCUGGUGGCAGCACUCGAAGGGUGCUGGUAAUCGGGCAAGUGGGGGUUCUCCAUUUCUGUGAAACUUUUCUUUCAGGGCUAGGGAUUUGGCUUAGUGGUUCCAGCGCCUGCCUCGAAAGCGCAAGGACAAGAGUUCGAUCCCCGGUACAAAAAAAUAAAUAAAACAAAAUUUUUAUUUCAUAAAUCGGACGCACAUGUUUAAAUACCACAUUGAUUCUCUGGUGUGAGAAACCAAAAGUGGAAAUAAGGACUGAGAUGUAUGAUGGAUGUUGGGAAAUGGAGAGAAAGUGUCCUGGAGGGAAGGGAACAAGGGAGGCGGGGUGAGAAAGUGGGGAAGGGACAAGAAAGCAAGUGAAAAUAGAAGCAGAAAAUGGAGAGCAAGCUGUACCUAGGGAGGGGAGGGCUUGAGGGGGGAGUGGGUCAAAUACAAUU